rnacentral:rRNA from 1 species
CCCAGACUCCUACGGGAGGCAGCAGUGGGGAAUAUUGCACAAUGGGGGGAACCCUGAUGCAGCGACGCCGCGUGGGUGAAGGAGUACUUCGGUACGUAAAGCCCUAUCAGCAGGAAAGAAAAUGACGGUACCUGACUAAGAAGCCCCGGCUAACUACGUGCCAGCAGCCGCGGUAAUACGUAGGGGGCAAGCGUUAUCCGGAUUUACUGGGUGUAAAGGGAGCGUAGACGGCAGUGCAAGUCCGGAGUGAAAGCCCGGGGCUCAACCCUGGGACUGCUCUGGAAACUGUAAAGCUGGAGUGCGGGAGGGGCAGGCGGAAUUCCUGGUGUAGCGGUGAAAUGCGUAGAUAUCAGGAGGAACACCGGCGGCGAAGGCGGCCUGCUGGACCGUAACUGACGUUGAGGCUCGAAAGCGUGGGGAGCAAACAGGAUUAGAUACCCUGGUAAG